rnacentral:sRNA from 1 species
GAGGUGGGCAAGUUAGUUGCUCCAAAAACAAGAUAAAGUGAUUGAGUUAUUUUCUCAAGCGGGAGUCGGAGUUUAUCUGCUCUGAGAGCCCCAGCAGCUACUAUUAAUAAGUGUCUGGAAUAUGUUCCUGGCAUUUCACCUACCCUCUCUCCAAUCCUUCCAAGAAACUCACAAAGCAGGGCUUUUUCUUGAACUUCUCUUCCUCACAACAGUUAAAUCAUCCAUUUAAAGAUGUCAGACAACCUCCGUGUUCUAAGAACUAUUUACUAAGCUCUAUGGAGACACAGCUACGAGCACCACAUGCUGGACCCCUGAAUAUGGAGGGCCAACUACACUAGAAACACACACACUAGCUGAGAAAGAUGGUGGCUUAAGGGGAAAAAGAAAGAAAGGGGAGUAGAAAUAGAAGAAAAGAAAUGAGAAGGAGAAAACAAAGGAGAAGGAAAAGGAGAAAAGAAAAAUGUAGGAAAAAGUUGUAAGUGCUUACUACAUGCUGUGCCCAUAUUACACAGAGCGCACAUUAUCCAGCUUAGUCUUCACAGAAUGCUGUCAGUGUUAUGAUCCUCAUUUUAACAAUGAAGAAACUGGGAGAUUUGUUCAAAGUUACACACUAGUAAAAAAGUAAAUCUUGAGUGCAACAUAGGU